CCUACGGGAGGCAGCAGUGAGGAAUAUUGGUCAAUGGCCGUAAGGCUGAACCAGCCAAGUCGCGUGAAGGAAGAAGGAUCUAUGGUUUGUAAACUUCUUUUAUAGGGGAAUAAAGGUAUCCACGUGUGGAUAUUUGCAUGUACCCUAUGAAUAAGCAUCGGCUAACUCCGUGCCAGCAGCCGCGGUAAUACGGAGGAUGGCAGCGUUAUCCGGAUUUGGUGGGUUUAAAGGGUGCGUAGGUUGUUUUUUAAGUCAGCGGUGAAAGUUUGUGGCUCAACCAUAAAAUUGCCGUUGAAACUGGAAGACGUGAGUGUGUUUGAGGUAGGCGGAAUGCGUGGUGUAGCGGUGAAAUGCAUAGAUAUCACGCAGAACUCCGAUUGCGAAGGCAGCUUACUAAGCCAUAACUGACACUGAAGCACGAAAGCGUGGGGAUCAAACAGGAUUAGAUACCCCUGUAGUC
rnacentral:rRNA from 1 species